rnacentral:tRNA from 1 species
GUGGCUGUAGCUCAGUUGGUUAGAGCACCGGUUUGUGGCACCGGGGGCCGUGGGUUCAAGUCCCACCUGCCACC